rnacentral:rRNA from 1 species
AACGAACGCUGGCGGCAUGCCUAACACAUGCAAGUCGAACGAGACCUUCGGGUCUAGUGGCGCACGGGUGCGUAACGCGUGGGAACCUGCCCUUAGGUUCGGAAUAACUCCCCGAAAGGGGUGCUAAUACCGGAUAAUGUCUUCGGACCAAAGAUUUAUCGCCUUUGGAUGGGCCCGCGUUGGAUUAGCUAGUUGGUAGGGUAAAAGCCUACCAAGGCGACGAUCCAUAGCUGGUCUGAGAGGAUGAUCAGCCACACUGGGACUGAGACACGGCCCAGAAUCCUACGGGAGGGAGCAGUGGGGGAUAUUGGACAAUGGGCGGAAGCCUGAUCCAGCAAUGCCGCGUGAGUGAUGAAGGCCUUAGGGUUGUAAAGCUCUUUUACCCGGGAUGAUAAUGACAGUACCGGGAGAAUAAGCUCCGGCUAACUCCGUG